GGAAUCUGACUGAUCAUCCAUACCAGAGUACUGUACACAUACAUAAAGUUCCUUCAAAAUGGAUUACUUUUUGGAUGUCGAGUCUGCUCACAGACUGUUUUACAGUCAAGGAGCCCAAGCUCGUCGGGCAACUCUUCUCACCGUGCCCACUCUGAUGACAGCAUCUUCUGAGGAUGACAUAGACCGGAGACCCAUCAGAAGACUCCGGUCUAAGAGUGACACCCCUUACUUGGAAGAAGCUAGGAUCUGCUUCAACCUUGAUAAUGGU